AUCCACUAGGAAAGGUUCCAGGACAACCGGAGGACCUGUCCUGCUUGAUGGUGUGUUUGACCAGCAGGUGGAGCUAGAUCAACUCCCCGAGCACCAUGGCAACAGGAGUGUUCCCCUUCAGAGCAGAGCCAUAGGAUCAGAUGGGCCGCUUUGGACUCAUAGUGAUUUGAGCACAAGCUGUUCUAACACACACUCAGAUACUCAGUGGCCUCAAGAUAUUAAACAACCAACCCUGAACUAUAAACCCUGUGAUGUUAAAGACAAACACUUGAGAGUUAACUGGACUAAGGCUCAUCUAGACACACACACACAUCAAACUGUUUUUCUUUUAUAGUUCGUGUCCAUCUUUGUGAAAAGGAAUAUCGGUUGUCUGUCUCAGUCUAGUGUUAUUGCAGUUACAGUCCAGGCUACAGUUUGAUCAGCUCUUGGCGUCUGUUCAAACCAUCCGGAAGUGAAACUCCCAUGAGCAAUGUCUCACGAGGUUCUAAUAUAGAAGUAGGUGCUGUUUGAGAAAUGUUGUAAAUUACAUGACAUUAUUUUUGAAGACCAAGUUGCCAAAUAAAAUUAAUUUUGUAUUGUGUA